rnacentral:rRNA from 1 species
AACGAACGCUGGCGGCAUGCCUAACACAUGCAAGUCGAACGAAGCCUUCGGGCUUAGUGGCGCACGGGUGCGUAACGCGUGGGAAUCUGCCCUCCGGUACGGAAUAACUCAGGGACACUUGAGCUAAUACCGUAUAAUGACUUCGGUCCAAAGAUUUAUCGCCUGAGGAUGAGCCCGCGUCGGAUUAGCUAGUUGGUGGGGUAAAAGCUCACCAAGGCGACGAUCCGUAGCUGGUCUGAGAGGAUGAUCGGCCACACUGGGACUGAGACACGGCCCAAACUCCUACGGGAGGCAGCAGUGGGGAAUAUUGGACAAUGGGCGCAAGCCUGAUCCAGCCAUGCCGCGUGAGUGAUGAAGGCCUUAGGGUUGUAAAGCUCUUUCACCGGAGAAGAUAAUGACGGUAUCCGGAGAAGAAGCCCCGGCUAACUUCGUGCCAGCAGCCGCAGUAACAC